AAGAGGAGACGGGGGAGGGGGCCUUCAUUAACUUGUGGGGCCCUAUGCAACUUGCGUAGUGUGCGUAUAGUGAGAACCGGCCCUGCAUAGGUUUCCAACUCUUCAC